AUUGAACGCUGGCGGCAGGCCUAACACAUGCAAGUCGAGCGGAUGAAGGGAGCUUGCUCCCGGAUUCAGCGGCGGACGGGUGAGUAAUGCCUAGGAAUCUGCCUGGUAGUGGGGGAUAACGUCCGGAAACGGGCGCUAAUACCGCAUACGUCCUGAGGGAGAAAGUGGGGGAUCUUCGGACCUCACGCUAUCAGAUGAGCCUAGGUCGGAUUAGCUAGUUGGUGGGGUAAAGGCCUACCAAGGCGACGAUCCGUAACUGGUCUGAGAGGAUGAUCAGUCACACUGGAACUGAGACGCGGUCCAGACUCCUACGGGAGGCAGCAGUGGGGAAUAUUGGACAAUGGGCGAAAGCCUGAUCCAGCCAUGCCGCGUGUGUGAAGAAGGUCUUCGGAUUGUAAAGCACUUUAAGUUGGGAGGAAGGGCAGUAAGUUAAUACCUUGCUGUUUUGACGUUACCAACAGAAUAAGCACCGGCUAACUUCGUG
rnacentral:rRNA from 1 species